rnacentral:rRNA from 1 species
GACGAACGCUGGCGGCGUGCUUAACACAUGCAAGUCGAACGGAAAGGCCCUGGUUUUGUGGGGUGCUCGAGUGGCGAACGGGUGAGUAACACGUGAGUAACCUGCCCUUGGCUUUGGGAUAACUUCAGGAAACUGGGGCUAAUACCGGAUAGGAGUUCCGGCUGAAUGGUGGGGGUUGGAAAGUUUCGGCGGUUGGGGAUGGAUUGGGGGCUUAUCAGCUUGUUGGGGGGGUAGUGGCUUACCAUGGCUUUGACGGGUAGCCCGCCUGAGAGGGGGACCAGGCCCCAUGGGACUGCGGUACGGACCAGUGUGGUACGGUGGGCAGCGGUGGAGAGUAUGGCCCAACAGUGGGAAGCCUGAUACAACGGCGCCCCGUGUGUAAAGCCCGCCUGCGCGUAGAGAAACGCUUUCCCCUAAGACGAAGGGGGAAUGACGGUAACGGAUAAAGAAGCACCGGCUAACUACGUG